rnacentral:rRNA from 1 species
CCUACGGGGGGCUGCAGUGGGGAAUAUUGGACAAUGGGGGAAACCCUGAUCCAGCAAUGCCGCGUGUGUGAAGAAGGCCUGCGGGUUGUAAAGCACUUUCGGUUGGGAAGAAAAGUUUGGCGCCAAUACCGCCGCACCUUGACGUUACUGACAGAAGAAGCACCGGCUAACUCUGUGCCAGCAGCCGCGGUAAUACAGAGGGUGCAAGGGUUAAUCGGAAGCAAGGGGCGUAACACGCAAGUCGGUGGUCAAAUCCCCGGGCUUAACCUGGGAACUGCAUUCGAUACUACAUGGCUAGAGUAUGGUAGAGGGAAGUGGAAGUUCCGGUGUAGCGGUGAAAUGCGUAGAUAUCGGAAGGAACACCAAUGGCGAAGGCAGCUUCCUGGACUAAUACUGACACUGAGGCACGAAAGCGUGGGUAGCAAACAGGAUUAGAUACCCCGGUAGUC